rnacentral:rRNA from 1 species
AAUAGAUACCCUGGUAGUCCACGCCCUAAACUAUGGAUGCUAGCUGUUAUGAGUAUCGACCCUCGUAGUAGCGAAGCUAACGCGUUAAGCAUCCCGCCUGUGGAGUACGAGCGCAAGCUUAAAACAUAAAGGAAUUGACGGGGACCCGCACAAGCGGUGGAGCGUGUUGUUUAAUUCGAUGAUAAGCGUAGAACCUUACCAAGGCUUGACAUCCCUGGAAGGUCUCCGAAAGGAGACUGUGCCUUCGGGAAUCAGGUGACAGGUGCUGCAUGGCCGUCGUCAGCUCGUGUCGUGAGAUGUUUGGUUAAGUCCAUCAACGAGCGCAACCCUUAUAAAUAGUUGAAUUUUUCUAUUUAGACCGCCUCGGUAACGGGGAGGAAGGAGGGGAUGACGUCAGGUCAGUAUUGCCCUUAUGCCUUGGGCUACAAACACGCUACAAUGGCCGGUACAAAGGGCUGCCAACCCGCGAGGGGAGCAAAUCCCAUCAAAACCGGUCCCAGUUCGGAUAGCAGGCUGAAACUCGCCUGCUUGAAGUCGGAAUCGC